rnacentral:rRNA from 1 species
CAUGCAAGUCGAGGGGUAUGGUUCUUCGGAACCAGAGACCGGCGCACGGGUGCGUAACGCGUAUGCAAUCUGCCUUUCACAGAGGGAUAGCCCAGAGAAAUUUGGAUAAAUACCUCAUAGUAUAGCGACAUCGCAUGAUGAUGCUAUUAAAGUCACAACGGUGAAAGAUGAGCAUGCGUCCCAUUAGCUAGUUGGUAAGGUAACGGCUUACCAAGGCAACGAUGGGUAGGGGUCCUGAGAGGGAGAUCCCCCACACUGGUACUGAGACACGGACCAGACUCCUACGGGAGGCAGCAGUGAGGAAUAUUGGUCAAUGGGCGCAAGCCUGAACCAGCCAUGCCGCGUGCAGGAUGACGGUCCUAUGGAUUGUAAACUGCUUUUGCACAGGAAGAAACACUGAUUCGUGAAUCAGCUUGACGGUACUGUGAGAAUAAGGAUCGGCUAACUCCGUGCCAGCAGCCGCGGUAAUACGGAGGAUCCAAGCGUUAUCCGGAAUCAUUGGGUUUAAAGGGUCCGUAGGCGGUCUGGUAAGUCAGUGGUGAAAGCCCAUCGCUCAACGGUGGAACGGCCAUUGAUACUGCUGGACUUGAAUUAUUAGGAAGUAACUAGAAUGUGUAGUGUAGCGGUGAAAUGCUUAGAGAUUACAUGGAAUACCAAUUGCGAAGGCAGGUUACUACUAAUGGAUUGACGCUGAUGGACGAAAGCGUGGGUAGCGAACAGGAUUAGAUACCCUGGUAGUCCACGCCGUAUACGAUGGAUACUAGCUGUUGGAAGCAAUUUCAGUGGCUAAGCGAAAGUGAUAAGUAUCCCA